rnacentral:rRNA from 1 species
UAAAACUCUGUUGUUAGGGAAGAACAAGUACCGGAGUAACUGCCGGUACCUUGACGGUACCUAACCAGAAAGCCACGGCUAACUACGUGCCAGCAGCCGCGGUAAUACGUAGGUGGCAAGCGUUGUCCGGAAUUAUUGGGCGUAAAGCGCGCGCAGGUGGUUUCUUAAGUCUGAUGUGAAAGCCCCCGGCUCAACCGGGGAGGGUCAUUGGAAACUGGGAGACUUGAGUGCAGAAGAGGAAAGUGGAAUUCCAAGUGUAGCGGUGAAAUGCGUAGAGAUUUGGAGGAACACCAGUGGCGAAGGCGACUUUCUGGUCUGUAACUGACACUGAGGCGCGAAAGCGUGGGGAGCGAACAGGAUUAGAUACCCUGGUAGUCCACGCCGUAAACGAUGAGUGCUAAGUGUUAGGGGGUUUCCGCCCCUUAGUGCUGCAGCUAACGCAUUAAGCACUCCGCCUGGGGAGUACGGCCGCAAGGCUGAAACUCAAAGGAAUUGACGGGGGCCCGCACAAGCGGUGGAGCAUGUGGUUUAAUUCGAAGCAACGCGAAGAACCUUACCAGGUCUUGACAUCCUCUGACAAUCCUAGAGAUAGGACGUUCCCCUUCGGGGGACAGAGUGAC